rnacentral:rRNA from 1 species
GACGAACGCUGGCGGCGUGCCUAAUACAUGCAAGUAGAACGCAGUUGCGAACGGGUGAGUAACUCGUAGGUAACUGCCUCAUAGCGGGGGAUAACUAUCGGAAACGAUAGCUAAUACCUCAUACUGUGAGAUGGACCUGCGUUGUAUUAGCUAGUUGGUGAGGUAAAGGCUCACCAAGGCGACGAUACAUAGCCGACCUGAGGGGAGGAGCAGCCCCCCCGGGACUGAGACACGGCCCGGACUCCUACGGGACGCAGCAGUAGGGAGACUUAGGCAGUGGAAGGAAGUCUGGCCGAGCACAGCCGCGUUAGUGGAGAAGGGUUUCGUAUCGUAAAGCUCUGUUGUUAGAGAAGCGGUAUCUAACCAGAAAGGGACGGCUAACUACGUGCCAGCAGCCGCGGUAAUUC